rnacentral:rRNA from 1 species
GCAACCCGACCCCAUGAAGAUGGAAUCGGUAGUAAUCGCGGGUCAGCCAUACCGCGGUGAAUACGUACUUGGGCCUUGUACACACCGCCCGUCACACCAACCGAGUAGGCGACACCCGAAGUCAACGCAUGUUGCCGAAGGUGUUACCUGCAAGGGGGGUGAAGUCGUAACAAGGUAGCCGUAGGAGAACCUGCGGCUGGAUCACCUCCUUU